rnacentral:rRNA from 1 species
UACGAAGGGGGCUAGCGUUGCUCGGAAUCACUGGGCGUAAAGCGCACGUAGGCGGACUCUUAAGUCAGGGGUGAAAUCCUGGAGCUCAACUCCAGAACUGCCUUUGAUACUGGGAGCCUUGAGUUCGAGAGAGGUGAGUGUAACUGCGAGUGUAGAGGUGAAAUUCGUAGAUAUUCGCAAGAACACCAGUGGCGAAGGCGGCUCACUGGCUCGAUACUGACGCUGAGGUGCGAAAGCGUGGGGAGCAAACAGG